AUUUUUUAACCUGUUAUAUUAACCUAAUAGACCCAUGCCAAACGAGAUCUUAUUGAUCAUAUCUCACCAAAAACCAGUCGACUCUCUCUUUCUCUUUCCAUCUUUAUCCCUCUUUUCCUUUGUGCAAGAAUCAAUCAUCUCUCUCUCUCUCUCUCUCUCUUCCUCUCCAUCUUUAUCUCUUAUCACCAACCUUCUUUAUUCUCUUCUACCCUGAGUCUUUAUCUCACUCACACAUCUCAAUCCUCCAUUGUCUUCGAUUUAUGCUUUUGACUGUCUUUCUUUUCGAGUUUCAAACCCUAACCCCAAACCUUUGAAAUCAUUCAUUUAAAUCGACUUCCUAAUGGAGAAGAUGAAGAUGAAAAACAUAGAAGAUGAAGACGAAGUAGCUGUGGACGCUGAUUUUGUCUGAAAUAUUGAAAAAAAACUUGAAAUCCAAGGUUAAACUUGGGGUUUCGGGUUCUUCUUCAUCAUCAAUUUAGGGUUUCAACCUCUCUCAAUUUAGGUUUUACUUGGGUUUCUAUUUGGGAGGGUUUCAGAGAGUGGAUCAAGAUGAAGAUAGAGUUAGAUCUUGGUUGUUGCUUUGUUUACUUAAGCUUUUUAUGGAGAGAGAAGGUGAGAAUUGAGAGGAAAGUAGUGAAGUGGACUACCUCUUGCAUAGAAAAACAAAAAAAAAAGAAGGGUCAAAAAAGAGGACAAAGAGAGACAGUAUAGAUGGAGCUUGGAAGGAUUUGAAACACCACUAAAUUAUAUAUGGAUGGAGUGAAUUACAUAUAUGUACAAUUUUAUUAUUUUAUAUAUAUAUGCAAAAUUGUAUA